AUUUAUGCAAACGACACUGUUUUCCCAAAAUCUGUUAACACUGUGCCACAGGUGGUUAACACUGUUCCGUUGAAGCCCCCUGAAGAAACUGUUUCAUUGCCUCAUGCAUCUGUAGAUUUGCAACCAUCUGGAGUUCCCGUGCUACUAACAGCAACUGAGAAGAUUGAUAAAACUGUUCCAUUGAAGCCCACUGAAGUUACUGUUUCAUUGCCUCAUGCAUCUGUAGAUUUGCAACCAUCUGGAGUUCCUGUGAUACUAACAACAACUGAGAAGGUUGAUAACAACUCAAAACAUCAAGCUGGACCAGUGAUGGUCCCGAUGGACCAAGAGAAUAGGGGUAAGGACCACAUGCAGCAACCUCCACAACCUGAUGUACCAAAGGCCACUAGUGAGGAAGGAGCAAAAAUUGACCCACCCAAAAAGUGGGCUAGCCUAUUUCAGAGGAAUCGCCUUGCUGCAAAUGGUAUGUCUCUGGAGUAUAUUCCCCCU
rnacentral:lncRNA from 1 species